rnacentral:sRNA from 1 species
GCCUAGCCCUGAUAGAAGUGGAAAUCCUUUUGCUUUUUCUUUAAAAGCAAAAGAUUGAAACGGAUAGCAGGAAAUAGC